UCUUGAAACACCGGUUCCCAUACAAUCACCAAAGUUAAGCAACAUCGAGCCUGGUCAAUAUCUAGAUGGGUGAUCACUUUGGAACACCAGGUGCUGUA